GUGAGAGAGAGUGGCGAAGUGGAGAGGCUGAGCUGAAUACAGAUGGCUGUGGGGGUUAGGACUGGGAUGGAGCAGAACAUACCAGGGGAGAGGCUGAGCUGAAUACAGAUGGCUGUGGGGGUUAGGACUGGGAUGGAGCAGAACAGUACUAGGGGAGAGGCUGAGCUGAAUACAGAUGGCUGUGGGGGUUAGGACUGGGAUGGAGAAGGCAGAACAGUACAGCAGUAGAGCAGUCUGUCUAACAGCCAGUCUAACAGACAGCCGGUAGUAUAACAGUAUACCCUGCAGGGCUGGGAUACAGGCAGUCAGUAACAGCCA
ensembl:lncRNA